rnacentral:rRNA from 1 species
UUCGUCAGCGGGGGACGGGUGAGUAACACGUGGGUAACCUGCCUGUAAGACUGGGAUAACUCCGGGAAACCGGGGCUAAUACCGGAUGCUUGAUUGAACCGCAUGGUUCAAUCAUAAAAGGUGGCUUUUAGCUACCACUUACAGAUGGACCCGCGGCGCAUUAGCUAGUUGGUGAGGUAACGGCUCACCAAGGCGACGAUGCGUAGCCGACCUGAGAGGGUGAUCGGCCACACUGGGACUGAGACACGGCCCAGACUCCUACGGGAGGCAGCAGUAGGGAAUCUUCCGCAAUGGACGAAAGUCUGACGGAGCAACGCCGCGUGAGUGAUGAAGGUUUUCGGAUCGUAAAACUCUGUUGUUAGGGAAGAACAAGUACCGUUCGAAUAGGGCGGCACCUUGACGGUACCUAACCAGAAAGCCACGGCUAACUACGUGCCAGCAGCCGCGGUAAUACGUAGGUGGCAAGCGUUGUCCGGAAUUAUUGGGCGUAAAGCGCGCGCAGGCGGUUUCUUAAGUCUGAUGUGAAAGCCCCCGGCUCAACCGGGGAGGGUCAUUGGAAACUGGGGAACUUGAGUGCAGAAGAGGAGAGUGGAAUUCCACGUGUAGCGGUGAAAUGCGUAGAGAUGUGGAGGAACACCAGUGGCGAAGGCGACUCUCUGG